rnacentral:lncRNA from 1 species
UUUAAUUUAUUAAUUUUAUUUAACAUUCUUCAAACUUGAAAGACUCAAUUAAUGUACCUAAAUGUUAGUACUGAAAUAUAUUAUAUUGAACUAAUAUAUUUAAAUGUUAGUACCGAAAUGUAUGUACCUAAAUAUAUGCAUCGAAAUGUAUUAAUAUUAAAUUAAUGUACCUAAAUAUAUGUACCGAAAUGUAUGCACUGAAAUGUUAGUACCGAAAAUGUAUUAUAUUGAAUUAAUGUACCUAAAUGUUUGUAUCAAAAUGUAUGUACCGAAAUAUGUGUACCUAAAUAUAUGCACCGAAAUGUAUUAUAAUGAAUUUAAUAUACCUAAAUGAAGAAGAUAAAGUACAUCAAAAUAUAUUGUA